rnacentral:lncRNA from 10 species
GGGAAGGCUCACAACCCACACUGUUGUAUUGGGAGGCAGGGCUCCCAUGCCCCUUGCACUUGGCUGUCUCUGCUGCUCUCUCACUUUCAUCUGGAGUCACUGCUUCCCUGCCCAGUGCAUUUGGAAGGCACAGCUGCCCUGUCCUCUGCCUUCGGUGGAACUGCCUCACUCCACUGUGCGCUUCCAUGGGCCUGCCCCUUGUCCCCUGCAUGUGGAAGGCACGGCUCCACUCUCCUCUACAUUUGGAGGCAUUUCACUGUGAUCUGCCUUUGGGGACACCACUCCAUUUACCCUGUGGUUUGGUUUGGAUCUAUGUCCCUUCCAAAUCGCAUAUUGAAAUGUAAUCCCCAAUGUUGGAGGUGGGGCCUGAUGGGAGGACUGGAUCAUGGGGACAUAUCCUUCAUGGAUGGCUUAGUGCCGUCCCCUUGGUAAUGAGUGAGUUUUUGCUGUGAGUUCACGCGAGAUCUGGUUGUUUAAAGGUGUCUGGCACCUUCCCCUUCUCUCUCUUGCUCCCACUCUCGCCAUGUGACCUGCCUGCUCCCCCUUUACCUUCCGCCAGGAGUGAAAGCUCUCUGAG